rnacentral:rRNA from 1 species
GACGAACGCUGGCGGCGUGCUUAACACAUGCAAGUCGAACGGAAAGGCCCUGCUUGCAGGGUACUCGAGUGGCGAACGGGUGAGUAACACGUGGGUGAUCUGCCCUGCACUUCGGGAUAAGCCUGGGAAACUGGGUCUAAUACCGGAUAGGAGCCAUUUUUAGUGUGAAGGUUGGAAAGUUUUUUCGGUGUAGGAUGAGCUCGCGGCCUAUCAGCUUGUUGGUGGGGUAAUGGCCUACCAAGGCGGCGACGGGUAGCCGGCCUGAGAGGGUGGACGGCCACAUUGGGACUGAGAUACGGCCCAGACUCCUACGGGAGGCAGCAGUGGGGAAUAUUGCACAAUGGGCGCAAGCCUGAUGCAGCGACGCCGCGUGGGGGAUGACGGCCUUCGGGUUGUAAACUCCUUUCGCUAGGGACGAAGCUUUUUGUGACGGUACCUAGAGAAGAAGCACCGGCUAACUACGUG